GAAUAUUGGACAAUGGGCGCAAGCCUGAUCCAGCCAUGCCGCGUGUGGGAAGAAGGCCUUCGGGUUGUAAACCACUUUUGUCAGGGAAGAAACGGUCUGCUCUAAUAAAUCGGACUAAUGACGGUACCUGAAGAAUAAGCACCGGCGAACUACGUGCCAGCAGCCGCGGUAAUACGUAGGGUGCAAGCGUUAAUCGGAAUUACUGGGCGUAAAGCGUGCGCAGGCGGCUAUGCAAGACAGAUGUGACAUCCCCGGGCUCAACCUGGGAACUGCAUUUGUGACUGCAUGGCUAGAGUACGGCAGAGGGGGAUGGAAUUCCGCGUGUAGCAGUGAAAUGCGUAGAUAUGCGGAGGAACACCGAUGGCGAAGGCAAUCCCCUGGGCCUGUACUGACGCUCAUGCACGAAAGCGUGGGGAGCAAACAGG
rnacentral:rRNA from 1 species